GUGGAUUAGAUACCCUGGUAGUCCAUGCUGUAAACGAUGUCAACUAGCCGUUGGGGUCUUUAAGACUUUAGUGGCGUAGCUAACGCGAUAAGUUGACCGCCUGGGGAGUACGGUCGCAAGACUAAAACUCAAAUGAAUUGACGGGGGCCCGCACAAGCGGUGGAGCAUGUGGUUUAAUUCGAUGCAACGCGAAGAACCUUACCUAGCCUUGACAUGUCUGGAAUCUUGUAGAGAUACGAGAGUGCCUUCGGGAAUCAGAACACAGGUGCUGCACGGCCGUCGACAACU
rnacentral:rRNA from 1 species